UACGUAGGCAGCAAGCGUUGUUCGGAGUUACUGGGCGUAAAGGGUGCGUAGGCGGUUCCGCAAGUCCUGUGUGAAAUCUUCGGGCUCAACUCGAAGUCUGCACGGAAAACUGCGGGGCUUGAGUGUGGGAGAGGUGAGUGGAAUUCCUGGUGUAGCGGUGAAAUGCGCAGAUAUCAGGAGGAACACCAAUGGCGAAGGCAGCUCGCUGGGACGGUACUGACGCUGAGACGCGAAAGCGUGGGGAGCAAACAGG
rnacentral:rRNA from 1 species